AUUGAACGCUGGCGGCAUGCUUUACACAUGCAAGUCGAACGGUAACAGGCCGCAAGGUGCUGACGAGUGGCGAACGGGUGAGUAAUGCAUCGGAACGUGCCCAGUCGUGGGGGAUAACGCAGCGAAAGCUGUGCUAAUACCGCAUACGAUCUAUGGAUGAAAGCGGGGGACCGUAAGGCCUCGCGCGAUUGGAGCGGCCGAUGUCAGAUUAGGUAGUUGGUAGGGUAAAGGCCUACCAAGCCGACGAUCUGUAGCUGGUCUGAGAGGACGACCAGCCACACUGGGCCUGAGACGCGGCCCAGACUGCUACGGGAGGCAGCAGUGGGGAAUUUCGGACAAUGGGCGCAAGCCUGAUCCAGCAAUGCCGCGUGCAGGAAGAAGGCCUUCGGGUUGUAAACUGCUUUUGUACGGAACGAAACGGUCUGGGUUAAUACCCCGGGCUAAUGACGGUACCGUAAGAAUAAGCACCGGCUAACUACGUGCCAGCCGCCGCCGUAAAAC
rnacentral:rRNA from 1 species